rnacentral:rRNA from 1 species
CUCUCGGCAACGGAUAUCUAGGCUCUCGCAUCGAUGAAGAACGUAGCGAAAUGCGAUACUUGGUGUGAAUUGCAGAAUCCCGCGAAUCAUCGAGUUUUUGAACGCAAGUUGCGCCCGAAGCCACUCGGCCGAGGGCACGUCUGCCUGGGCGUCACGCACCGUUGUC